ACGAACGCUGGCGGCAUGCCUAAUACAUGCAAGUCGAACGAAUGCCUUCGGGUGUUAGUGGCGCACGGGUGCGUAACGCGUGGGAAUCUGCCCUUGGGUUCGGAAUAACAGUUGGAAACGACUGCUAAUACCGGAUGAUAUCGAAAGAUCAAAGAUUUAUCGCCCAGGGAUGAGCCCGCGUAGGAUUAGCUAGUUGGUGAGGUAAAGGCUCACCAAGGCGACGAUCCUUAACUGGUCUGAGAGGAUGAUCAGCCACACUGGGACUGAGACACGGCCCAGACUCCUACGGGAGGCAGCAGUAGGGAAUAUUGGACAAUGGGCGCAAGCCUGAUCCAGCAAUGCCGCGUGAGUGAUGAAGGCCUUAGGGUUGUAAAGCUCUUUUACCCGAGAUGAUAAUGACAGUAUCGGGAGAAUAAGCCCCGGCUAACUCCGU
rnacentral:rRNA from 1 species